CUUAUUUACAACUUUCUUCUACAUCCAAAUUCUCAUUCCACCUAAAAGGGCAAAAUGUACAUAUAUUCUUGCUUCUAAGAGGCAAAAGUGAAGAGAUUUGUCUGUCAAAGACACAAUUGACCUGAUUGGACAACACUUAUGAGUUUCAGGGAAGCAGGCUGGGAUAACUACAAGGCAACUCUCAAUUGUCUUUGAAAGUUGUUCAUGAUUUGGGGAGAUUCCUGGGGACUGGAAGAGAGCAGACAUCACUCCUAUCUUCAAGAAUGGUAAGAAUAAGGAGCUGGGGAACUGUAAUUGGGUCAGCUUCUACUCAAUUACUGUGAAGGUGAUGGAGCAAAUUUGUCUGGAAACCAUUUCCAGUCACCUACAGGACCAUAAGGUGAUUAGGAGGAGUCAGGAUGGGGAAACUGUGGUUAACCAUCCUGAUAGCCUUCUGUGAUAGCAAAUUUGGUGCCUAGCAGGUGGAGAAAAAUGAACUGACAAGAAUCUGAGAAGUUCAAAAAGGGGAAAUGUCAAGUUCUGUAUCUGGGGAAUAACAACUUCAUGCAUCAGGACCAUCUGGGGGCCAGAGGGUUUACACAGAUGGUUCUUUCUCUGCUCAGCCUUGGUGAAUUCAUUUCUUCAGUGAUGGGUCCAGUGCUGCACUGUCCAGUACAAGAAGAAUGUGGAUUUAUUGGAGCAAUUUCAUCGAUGAGCCACAAAGAUGUUCUAGGGACUGAAGCAGCAUUCAUGAGAGGACCUCUGGGAGAGGUGGGACUGUUCAGCUUGUAGAAGAAAAUGUUCAGGAGGGUCUUAUCAAUGCGUAAAAAAUGCGUGAAGGGAGGAUGCAAAUAAGAUGGAGCCAGGUUUUCUCAGUGGUACCCAGACAGGACAAGAGGCAACAGGGACAAAAUGAAACACAGGAGGUCCCCUCCUGAACAUCAGGAGACACUUCUUUACCUUGUGGCUGACUGAGCACUGGCACAGGCUGGCCAGAGUUUCCAUCCUUGGAGAUACACAAAACCCAUCUGGAUACAGCUCUGAGCAACCUGCUGUAGGUGACCCGGCUCUGAAUAGUGGGGACGAACUGGACAGUCUCCAGAGGGGCUAUCUCACCUCAGCCAUUUUGUGGUAACUGUGAUCUCUACUUAGUUUACCAGAACAAAGUGACUGGAGCAUUCUGAAGUUUCUUAGACUAUAAGCCUACUUAAUUUAACUAAUUAAUUUUUCUUUUGUUAAAAUUUUCAUGAAGAAGCUAUUAGAUUAGUCUGAUUUUAUUUCUGGCUCUUACUCAGAACUUUGUGAUCCCAUUAGCAGUCAGUUUUUAUGAGGAUGAAAUGUUUUCAAGUGCAGGAUUGAAUAUUUCCAGUGGAAUAUUUUAUGGCAGCUUUUGGUUAGGCAGUCAGAUUCUGUCAGUGGAUAUGCUGAAAGCAAUGAUAAGGAGGAAACCUAGACCCUUGAGUGACUUCACAUACCCUUAAAAUAUGUACCAAUAACAUGAAUAAAGACUUUCAUUAAAUUAAUAUAAAGACUUGUUUAUAGGUAUGUUUUAAGACUGUUUGACACAAAUCAUACUUUUUCAAGAAAAAGAAAAAGAAAAAAAACACAUCAGCAUGCAGAUUUCUCAUUUGCAUAGCAUUAAAAUUUCCAGAGUUGAUAAACUGUAUGCUAUCUGAAUGAUUUUAAGACUGUGAAUGACUUCUCAUUUGGACUUUAUAUUCCUUCCCAAAUUAAUUCUGAGCCUAGUAUUAAAUCCUAUCCCAUAUUAAAUUAAAAAUAAAAUACAGUUUGCCCAACAUAGGAACAUUAAAGGGCCAUUCCAAUGUACUUCUUGGUGUCAGUUGUCACGCGCUCUUGCAGGAAGAGUAGGAAUACAGUUCCAGAUGGCUAUUCACUACUGCUCAAAAGAACAGAGGUCAAGUGCUAAGAGUUCAUAUAGCAGACAGUAUUUUCUAGCAUGUUCAAAGUGGAAAUUGUAUUUUAAAGUAAUUUCAGGACAUCAUUUUUAACACUGCAGUAUAGCAAUAUAUAAAAGCAUAAGCUGUAAGUAUUCUGGACUCAUUUCUCAGCCACUAAAAUGUUAUUUGCUUCCAUUACCUUAAAUUGAAAUAAGCCAGUGGCACUGUCCAUAAAGUAUCUCUCUGUUGUGAGAACAAGUCAUGAAGUGGCAUAGGUACUGAAGAAAAUAAAGGAUGAAUACACUGAGGAGAAGAAACAACAUAUAAGGUUGAAGAAACAAAGUAUGAGGGUGACGCAGACCUUUAAACAAUAUUUUCGUGGUCUAAGCAAUAAUAUACUUCUGUGCAAAAGAUUCCAAGUGAUGCCUGAUUCUAGCUAUUUCUCCUUUCAACAUUUUCUUCUCACAUCUAUAUCACCAGCCCUGAACUCUACUCUUUUUUGAAAAACUCUGCAAUUUUUAGCAACUAAAACAAGUUUUAUGUCAGACUUCUCCAACACCUCAUGGCAACAGUGUGCAUAGGCAAAAAGUCUUUCACUUACAGUCAGUGAUGUUUGAUUUAAUGUGUUAU
ensembl:lncRNA